CUUCUACUCCCCCUGUUCGGAAUUACUUGUCACAAAAAUGGAUGUAUCUACAACUAAAAUACAUCUAGAUACAUUCAUUUCUUGGACGAGUAAUUCCGAACGGAGGGAGUAUUAG
rfam:Triticum aestivum genome assembly, contig: Triticum_aestivum_CS42_TGACv1_scaffold_486073_6AS